rnacentral:snRNA from 1 species
ACCUUCGGGUAUCUGGUCAAUUGAAACGAUACAGAGAAGAUUAGCAUGGCCCCUGCACUAAGGUUGACACGCGAAAUCACAGAGAAGCUACCAUUUUUU